rnacentral:lncRNA from 1 species
GCCAGUUAUUUAUGUUGAGGGUGCUUCCUAGGGAGAGGAGCAGACGAAGGCUAACAUCAACAUGCCCCCACAGAUGCAGUCACUUCUUGAGGAGUACCAUCAGCUGUUUACUGAUCCUCAAGGGUUACCUCUCUCUAGAUGACCAUUUGAUCAUAAGAUACCAUUGCAUGCAAGAUGCAAUCCUAUAAACCUCAGACCUUAUAGAUAUUAUUCAUCAUAGAAGGAUAUGAUUGAGAGGUUAGUAUAGGAUAUGCUGGACCAAGGAAUUGUGCAGUCAAGUUCCAGCCUUUAUGCUUCCCCAGUAGUUUUGGUGGAAAGAAAGAUGGAAGUUAGAGGCAAUGUGUUGAUUACAGGGGCUUAAACAAGGUUACCAUUAAAGAUAAGUUUCAUAUUCCAAUUAUUGAGUAACUUCUAGAUGAGUUGGAUGGUUCACAGGUCUAUUCCAAGAUAGAUCUUAGGUUUGGGUACCACCAGAUCAGGAUGGCAACAGAAGAUAUAGCCAAGACAACCUUCAAAAUCACUCGGGGCACUAUGAGUAUCUGAUAAUGCCUUUUGGACUUACCAAUGCUCCUUCUUGUUUCCAGAGUUUGAUGAAUAAUGUGUUCAAAGAGCAUCUCAGAAAUUUAUUGGUAUUCUUUGAUGUUAUCUUAGUGUUUAACAAGAACAUGUCUGAACACUUGGUACAUCUUAGGAUGACUUUUGAGUUGUUAGUGAAGCACAAGUUGUUUGCAAGGAAAUCCAAAUGCUCUUUUGGGUCUAGCAGGAUUGACUACCUAGGGUAUAUUAUAUCUGUUAAAGGAGUGGCCACUGAUCCUAAGAAAAUUGUAGCAGUACAGUAGAAUGUGAGGGAACUGAGGGGCGUUUUAGGGUUGGCAGGCUACUAUAGGAGGUUCAUCAAGCAUUAUGGAGUAAUCAACGGGCCUUUGACAGAAUUGCUCAAAAAAGAUGGAUUCUGAUGGUCUAGCAAGGCAGAAGAAGCAUUUGACAAGUUAAAGGUAGCUCUUAUAUCUACACCUGUACUGGCACUUCCAAACAGUUUUCUUAUGUUUGUAGUGGAGGCUGAUGCUUAUAAUUAUGGUAUUGGGGUUGUGUUGAUGCAAGAUGGACACCCUAUAGCCUACCUCAGCAAGGGUCUAUCAAGAAGGCACCAAGCUCUGUCAGUAUAUGACAAGGAGCUGUUAGCACUUGUUAUGGUUGUUACCAAUUAGGCACAAUAUUUAAUGGGAAGAUAUUUUGUGGUAAGGAUUGAUCAAAAGGCUUUGAAGUUCUUAUUGGAUCAAAAGCUUCACAUUGGAUCACAGAUGAAAUGGAUAGCAAACUCAUGCAGUUUGAUUUUGUGAUAGAAUAUAAGAAAGGGAGAGAAAACAAAGCAGCUGACUCCCUAUCCAGGGUUCUAUCAGGGGAGUUAGCCAUGAUUUUGUUAACUCUAGAAAACCAUGAUCACUUUCAAAAGAUCAAGGAUAGAUGGGUAAAGGAUAAUGAAGCUGCAGAGAUUAUAGCUAACAUCCAAGAGCAAGGAGAGGAACAUAAGGGGUACACAUUUGUAAACCAACAGCUGAGGAGGAAAGGCAAACUGGUGGUGGGCAAUGACAGUUCUUCGAGGCAAGAGAUCCUUCAUACAUGGCAUGAUAAAUAUGCGGGUGGCCAUUCUGGGAUAGAAAAUACCUACAAAAAGGUAUCUAAUCUUUUCUACUAGAAGGGGCUCAAGGAAGAUAUGGUAACUUAUGUGAGACAGUGUGUAACAUGUCAAAGGAGCAAGUAUGAUAGUAGUGCUUAUCAUGGAUUGCUACAGCCCUUGCAGAUUCCUAGUACUUUCUGGGCUAGUAUCAGUAUGUAUUUUAUUGAUGGACUUCCUAAAUCCAAGGGCAAAAUAACUAUACUGGUAGUGGUGGACAGACUUACCAAAUAUGGUCACUUCCUGGCCCUUAGUCACCCCUACACUCCUACUUUUGUGGCCCAUGUGUUCUUGGAUUAUAUUUUCAAGUUACAUGGUAUGCCAGAAAAUAUAAUCAAUGAUAGGAGCCCAGUAUUUGUCAGCAAGGUAUGGACAGAUCUUUUUUCCAUGCAAGGUGUGACCCGCAGUACUUCCACAACCUAUCAUCCCCAAAUCGAUGGUUAAACUGAGGUGCUUAACAGGACUGCAGAGACCUAUUUAAGGAAUUUUUGUGCUGAUAGCCAACAAGAUUAGGCUUCCUAUUUGUCACUAGCAGAAUGUUGGUACAAUACCACCUUCCACUCAGCCAUUCAAACUACCCCAUAUGAAGCUCUCUAUGGACAACCACCUCAUAUUCAUCUACCUUAUCUACCAGGUGAUGCUACUGAUGAGGAAGUGGAUCGAAGCCUCACUACGAAGGAACUUAAGGUAAAGUUCCACAUUCACAGGGCACAACAAAGGAUGUUAGCAUUGGCCAAUAAGUAUAGAGCUGACAUGAAUUUCAAUGAGGGGGAUUGGGUUUAUCUCAAGCUUCAAUCUUAUCAGCGGAUUACGCUCUCUAACCACUCAUUUUCUAAGCUUUCAGCCAAGUAUUAUGGUCCAUACCAGAUUCUACAGAAAAUUGGUCUAGUUGCUUACAAGCUCUCACUUCCUUCUCAUGUUACUAUCCAUCCUACUUUUCGUGUCUCUCAGCUUAAGCCAUUUUAUGCCAUCCCUGAUAGGAUUAAUCACCCACCAGUAAUUAAUGUUACCAGCUCACACUAUGCGGAACCUCAAGAAAUUUUUGACAGAAGGAUGAUCAAACGAGGAAACAAGGCAGUUCCUCAAAUUUUGGUCCAGUGGUCACAAAUGUCGAAGGAACAAACUACUUGGGAAAACUAUGCAGUGAUAAGUUGAAGUUUCCUUCCUUCCUUCCUCGAGGACAAGGAAGAUUUUUAAGGGAAGGGCAAUGGUGCUCGAAUGAUAUGUGGAAAGCCAUUGUUAUGCUUCAGGAGUAGUACCAGUCGCUUGCGGAGGAGUACCUGACUGUUAUAGUUAGUUGGAGUCUAAUUAAAUAGAGAGUUUCAAGUAUUACACUUUAAUCCUCUUAAGUUUAUAGUUUAUGUUUUAUAGUAUUCGCAUUGAGUCUGUAAUUUCUGUACGAUGAGUACUUUUGGUCCUCGAUAGUACUGUCAGCUGAUGAAGGGUACAACCUUAUCUCUUAGUAGUGGUCCUAGGGGAAUAUUCUUCUAUAUAUUUGUAAUUCCCUGCAUUUUGGCAGAUUGUCUGUGAAAAUAUCUUAAAAAAUAUCUUAGUCUAAACCCUAGAAUA